rnacentral:lncRNA from 1 species
UCCAACGAGUUUGCCUAGGUUGUUACAAAGUUAAAACAGGCGGGAAGAGUCCGAAUGAGGUUGCUAGAAUAAAAAUAUGUCAUGGGGUUUAUUUACAACCUAAACACGUGUGGCAACCUUUGAGGUUUGCCGCCUUCCCAACCUUUCUGAGAUUUGGGGCGUGAGUCGGACAUUGAUUACUUCCAAAUCCGGCCAAAGUUCUGACUACCCCAUUUAAAAAAAAGCCACAAUAUAAAAAAAGACAUAAAAUUGAAAAGUGAGAAAGAAAAAAAGAUGUAAAGCAAAGAAAAUCAAAAGGAAGCAUGUUCUAUAUAU